rnacentral:rRNA from 1 species
GAGUUUGAUCCUGGCUCAGGAUGAACGCUGGCGGCGUGCUUAACACAUGCAAGUCGAACGAACCUUCGGGUUAGUGGCGGACGGGUGAGUAACGCGUGAGAAUCUGCCCUCAGGAGGGGGACAACAGUUGGAAACGACUGCUAAUACCCCAUAUGCCGAGAGGUGAAACGAAUUUCGCCUGGGGAUGAGCUCGCGUCUGAUUAGCUUGUUGGUGGGGUAACGGCUUACCAAGGCUUCGAUCAGUAGCUGGUCUGAGAGGACGAUCAGCCACACUGGGACUGAGACACGGCCCAGACUCCUACGGGAGGCAGCAGUGGGGAAUUUUCCGCAAUGGGCGCAAGCCUGACGGAGCAACGCCGCGUGAGGGAUGGAGGCCUUUGGGCUGUAAACCUCUUUUCUCAAGGAAGAAGAUCUGACGGUACUUGAGGAAUAAGCCACGGCUAAUUCCGUGCCAGCAGCCGCGGUAAUACGGGAGUGGCAAGCGUUAUCCGGAAUUAUUGGGCGUAAAGCGUCCGCAG